rnacentral:rRNA from 1 species
AUGCUCUUAAACCCCCUUUUUUCUAAGGGAAUCUUAAACCCUUUCUUCUUUCAUUAUGUGCAAUCUCUGCUUGCUUUCCCAUACGAGUUCCAUCGACGCUCGACGGCCAACACCGACACACAUGCUGUCCCAAUGCACCCAGCGCGUGCUCCUGCCAUCGUCGCCUCUCGCCUCCUCGUCCGCGACAACCAGCGCAUCACCGCCCUCGCCCGCGCUGGCGACCUGGCCGCGGCGCGCCGGGUGUUCGACGCCAUGCCCCGCCGCGACGUCGUCUCCUGGAACGCGCUCCUCACCGCGCUCUGGCGCGUCGGCCGGGACCUGCCCGCGGCGCGCCGCCUCUUCGACGACAUGCCGUCCCGCAACGUUAUCUCCUGGAACUCCGUCGUCGCAGGCUGCCUCGCGCAUGGCGACCUGGCUGCCGCCUCCGCCUACUUCGCGCGUACCCCGCGUCGCAACGUGGCCUCGUGGAACGCCAUGCUUGCCGGGCUCGUCCGGCUCGGCUGCAUGAACGACGCGGAGAGGCUGUUCGGUGAAAUGCCUGAGCGGAACGUGGUGUCGUACACCACCAUGGUUGAUGGGCUCGCGCGACGUGGGGAGGUGGGUAGGGCGCGUGCGGUGUUUGACGAAAUGCCUGAGAGGAACUUAGUGUCGUGGGCAGCGAUGAUAAGUGGGUAUGUUGACAACAGCAUGCUCGACGAGGCAAGAAAACUGUUUGCAGCGAUGCCAGAGAAGAAUGUCAUGGCAUCCACCGCCAUGAUCACUGGAUAUUGCAAGGAAGGAGAUGUGGGGAGCGCCAGGAAGCUUUUUGAUGAGAUUUAUGUCAAAGAUGUCAUCUCGUGGAACGCCAUGAUUGCAGGUUAUGUUCAUAAUGGAUACGGAGAAGAAGCUUUGAAAUUGCACAUCAUAAUGCUCAGAGAAGGUACAAAACCAGAUCAUGCGACUCUUAUUGCAACCCUGACAGCAUGCUCUGCUCUUGCUUUGCUCAGACAAGGAAGAUCAACACAUGCUGUUGCCGUCAAAACAAUGUUAGAAUCUAGCACAUCUUUUUGUAAUGCUUUGAUCACAAUGUAUAGCAAGUGUGGUGAUGUCAGUGAGUCAGAGUUGGUCUUCAUAAACCUUAAAAGCCAGGACAUUGUUUCGUGGAACACAAUGAUCGCGGCAUAUGCACAACAUGGCAAAUAUCAGAAAGCUAUUUCUCUCUUCCAUGAGAUGGAAACACGUGGGCUAAUACCGAACGAUAUUACCAUCCUUAGUGUGCUAUCAGCAUGUGGGCAUGUUGGCAGGGUGGAUGACAGCUUGGAACUAUUUGAUCUUAUGUCAUUCAAAUACGCGAUAUGUCCAGGAGCUGAACACUAUGCUUGUAUUAUCGAUAUAUUGGGACGAGCAGGACAGUUCGAGAAAGCUUGUAGUUACAUAAAAGACAUGCCAUUUGAAUCUGAGAAGAAUGUUUGGGGUGCAUUGUUGGGGGCUUCCAAGACUCAUGGCAAUGUGCAGUUGGGUGAACUUGCGGCGAAAAUGCUUGUGCAGUCAGACUCAGGAAGUUCAGGGCCUUAUGUGAUGCUUUCAAAUAUAUAUGCUGCUGCUGGCAUGUGGGGUGAAGUCAAUCGAAUAAGAGGUCAAAUGAAGGAAAAAGGUGUGAAGAAACAACCUGGAUACAGCUGGACUGAAAUUGCUAAUAGAGUUCAUAUGUUUGUGGGUGGUGAUGCAUCUCAUCCAGAGAUGAACAAGAUCAUAUCUGAGCUGAGAAAAAUCAGCUUUCAUAUGCAAAUGAUGGCCAAUGAAACUCAUACAAUGGUAGAGAUGUCCCAGGAAUCUAGAUAG